rnacentral:rRNA from 1 species
CCUACGGGAGGCAGCAGUGGGGAAUAUUGGACAAUGGGCGAAAGCCUGAUCCAGCCAUGCCGCGUGUGUGAAGAAGGCCUUCGGGUUGUAAAGCACUUUCAGUGGGGAAGAAAGCCUUGGGGCUAAUACCCUCGAGGAAGGACAUCACCCACAGAAGAAGCACCGGCUAACUCCGUGCCAGCAGCCGCGGUAAUACGGAGGGUGCGAGCGUUAAUCGGAAUUACUGGGCGUAAAGCGCGCGUAGGCGGUCUGAUAAGCCGGUUGUGAAAGCCCCGGGCUCAACCUGGGAACGGCAUCCGGAACUGUCAGGCUAGAGUGCAGGAGAGGAAGGUAGAAUUCCCGGUGUAGCGGUGAAAUGCGUAGAGAUCGGGAGGAAUACCAGUGGCGAAGGCGGCCUUCUGGACUGACACUGGCGCUGAGGUGCGAAAGCGUGGGUAGCAAACAGGAUUAGAUACCCUGGUAGUC